rnacentral:lncRNA from 1 species
GGAUUUUGUAAACCAAGUUGUGUAAAGGAAUUGCUUGUGAGGUCCUACGUGAUUGCAUAUAAGCCUAAGCUUUUGCCUCUCCCGCAUCCACCUCAACACCAUCUUCAUGUGCGUUUUCCCUGUCAACCCUCUUAAACCAACUUCCUGAAAACAUGAGUCAACUGUAAGCUGUUCGUUCCAUGUUUCGAUCAUCUCAAAUUGUAACCCUUAAGCAAAGUACUAAGUAAGACUUUCACCUGGACUUUCUCCCA